rnacentral:rRNA from 1 species
AUUGAACGCUGGCGGCAGGCCUAACACAUGCAAGUCGAACGAGUGGCGGACGGGUGAGUAAUGUCUGGGAAACUGCCUGCUGGAGGGGGAUAACUACUGGCAACGGUAGCUAAUACCGCAUCCCAUCGGCUGUGCCCAUAUGGGAUUAGCUAGUAGGUGGGGGAAUGGCUCACCUAGGCGACGCUCCCUAGCUGGUCUGAGAGGAUGACCAGCCACAUGGGAACUGAGAAACGGUCCAGACUCCUACGGGAGGCAGCAGUGGGGAAGAUUGCACAAUGGGCGCAAGCCUGAUGCAGCCAUGCCGCGUGUAUGAAGAAGGCCUUCGGGUUGGAAAGUACUUUCAGCGGGGAGGCGUUACCCGCAGAAGAAGCACCGGCUAACUCCGUGCCAGCAGCCGCGGUAAUUC